rnacentral:rRNA from 1 species
GAUGAACGCUGGCGGCGUGCUUAACACAUGCAAGUCGAACGGAAAGGCCCUUGCUUGCAGGGGUACUCGAGUGGCGAACGGGUGAGUAACACGUGUGUGAUCUGCCCUGCACUUCGGUAUAAGCCUGGGAAACUGGGUCUAAUACCGGAUAGGACCAUCGCUUAGUGUGGGUGGUGGAAAGUUUUUUCGGUGUGGGAUGAGCUCGCGGCCUAUCAGCUUGUUGGUGGGGUAAUGGCCUACCAAGGCGUCGACGGGUAGCCGGCCUGAGAGGGUGUACGGCCACAUUGGGACUGAGAGACGGCCCAGACUCCUACGGGAGGCAGCAGUGGGGAAUAUUGCACAAUGGGCGCAAGCCUGAUGCAGCGACGCCGCGUGGGGGAUGACGGCCUUCGGGUUGUAAACCCCUUUCGGCAGGGACGAAGCGAAAGUGACGGUACCUGGAGAAGAAGCACCGGCUAACUACGUG